rnacentral:rRNA from 1 species
AUAAUGGGUCAGCGACUUAUAUUCUGUAGCAAGGUUAACCGAAUAGGGGAGCCGAAGGGAAACCGAGUCUUAACUGGGCGUUAAGUUGCAGGGUAUAGACCCGAAACCCGGUGAUCUAGCCAUGGGCAGGUUGAAGGUUGGGUAACACUAACUGGAGGACCGAACCGACUAAUGUUGAAAAAUUAGCGGAUGACUUGUGGCUGGGGGUGAAAGGCCAAUCAAACCGGGAGAUAGCUGGUUCUCCCCGAAAGCUAUUUAGGUAGCGCCUCGUGAAUUCAUCUCCGGGGGUAGAGCACUGUUUCGGCAAGGGGGUCAUCCCGACUUACCAACCCGAUGCAAACUGCGAAUACCGGAGAAUGUUAUCACGGGAGACACACGGCGGGUGCUAACGUCCGUCGUGAAGAGGGAAACAACCCAGACCGCCAGCUAAGGUCCCAAAGUCAUGGUUAAGUGGGAAACGAUGUGGGAAGGCCCAGACAGCCAGGAUGUUGGCUUAGAAGCAGCCAUCAUUUAAAGAAAGCGUAAUAGCUCACUGGUCGAGUCGGCCUGCGCGGAAGAUGUAACGGGGCUAAACCAUGCACCGAAGCUGCGGCAGCGACGCUUAUGCGUUGUUGGGUAGGGGAGCGUUCUGUAAGCCUGCGAAGGUGUGCUGUGAGGCAUGCUGGAGGUAUCAGAAGUGCGAAUGCUGACAUAAGUAACGAUAAAGCGGGUGAAAAGCCCGCUCGCCGGAAGACCAAGGGUUCCUGUCCAACGUUAAUCGGGGCAGGGUGAGUCGACCCCUAAGGCGAGGCCGAAAGGCGUAGUCGAUGGGAAACAGGUUAAUAUUCCUGUACUUGGUGUUACUGCGAAGGGGGGACGGAGAAGGCUAUGUUGGCCGGGCGACGGUUGUCCCGGUUUAAGCGUGUAGGCUGGUUUUCCAGGCAAAUCCGGAAAAUCAAGGCUGAGGCGUGAUGACGAGGCACUACGGUGCUGAAGCAACAAAUGCCCUGCUUCCAGGAAAAGCCUCUAAGCAUCAGGUAACAUCAAAUCGUACCCCAAACCGACACAGGUGGUCAGGUAGAGAAUACCAAGGCGCUUGAGAGAACUCGGGUGAAGGAACUAGGCAAAAUGGUGCCGUAACUUCGGGAGAAGGCACGCUGAUAUGUAGGUGAAGUCCCUCGCGGAUGGAGCUGAAAUCAGUCGAAGAUACCAGCUGGCUGCAACUGUUUAUUAAAAACACAGCACUGUGCAAACACGAAAGUGGACGUAUACGGUGUGACGCCUGCCCGGUGCCGGAAGGUUAAUUGAUGGGGUCAGCGCAAGCGAAGCUCUUGAUCGAAGCCCCGGUAAACGGCGGCCGUAACUAUAACGGUCCUAAGGUAGCGAAAUUCCUUGUCGGGUAAGUUCCGACCUGCACGAAUGGCGUAAUGAUGGCCAGGCUGUCUCCACCCGAGACUCAGUGAAAUUGAACUCGCUGUGAAGAUGCAGUGUACCCGCGGCAAGACGGAAAGACCCCGUGAACCUUUACUAUAGCUUGACACUGAACAUUGAGCCUUGAUGUGUAGGAUAGGUGGGAGGCUUUGAAGUGUGGACGCCAGUCUGCAUGGAGCCGACCUUGAAAUACCACCCUUUAAUGUUUGAUGUUCUAACGUUGACCCGUGAUCCGGGUUGCGGACAGUG